rnacentral:rRNA from 1 species
AUUGAACGCUGGCGGCAGGCCUAACACAUGCAAGUCGAGCGAGCGGCGGACGGGUGAGUAAUGUAUGGGGACUGCCCGAUAGAGGGGGAUAACUACUGGAAACGGUGGCUAAUACCGCAUACUAUCGGAUAACCCAUAUGGUAUUAGCUAGUAGGUGGGGUAAAGGCUCACCUAGGCGACGAUCUCUAGCUGGUCUGAGAGGAUGAUGAGGCACAAGUGGGCUGAGACACGGACCAGACUCCUACGGAGACAGCAGGGGGGAAGAUUGCACAAUGGGCGAAAGCCUUAUGCAGCCAUGCAGGGUGUAUGAAGAAGGCCUUAGGGUUGUAAAGUACUUUAAGCGGGGAGGCGUUACCCGCAGAAGAAGCACCGGCUAACUCCGUGCCAGCAGCCGCGGUAAUUC